AGAAAUCACUGCAAGCAAAAUUGGAUAAGUUCACCAUUGUCAAUGAGGAGGUGAUCACAAAAUAUGAAAAUUCUCCAAUGCUCAGUCACAUGCUGCAAUUCCUUAAAAUUGAGGAAAUGAAGUUGAAGACAAUGCUUAAACAAAAAAUUGUUGAGCUAAAAAAAACAUUUUACGCAUCUCUUCCUGAAUCCAUUAAAAGCACAAUGCUGCAAGUCUAUAUGAGUGCUGCUGCCAUGACUGGAACCGGCUCUAUGAAGAAGAAGCAGGUUGAGCUGUUGGAAUAUAUAGAAUCAUCAAAGAGUUAAAUGUUCCAGAGGCAAAGAGAGAAAUGAUUGAACUGAUGGAUAGGACAAUGCAUUCCACUGUGGAGGAAAUAAAAAUUGGACUAAUGGAGUCAAUGGAGUAUUCACUUCUUAAUGCCAACACCUUGUCCUUCAUGGAUGUCUCCAAAGAGACAGAAGAACUGAAGAAGUUAUCCACUUAUGUCUGUGAUUAAUUAUCUACUAAAGAAAAGAGUUUUUUGAAACUCCACUCGUCUUCAAUUCAGUAUGUUAUCAGUCAGCAGAUAUUCGCCUGCUUUGUAGGUCUAAAUCUCACUAUUUAGAAUGUCUUUUUAGUUGCUUUGGGGUCUCACUUCAUUGUACAAUUUUUAAUUCUGAAUCUGCGUAUACCUCUCUAUUAGCUAUGAUUUUUUUUUAAUCUAUGUGCUAAAAAUGGCAUCCACAAUAACUGGAACAUGUGAUGAGGUGAAGUCUGAUCUCAGAGCUGUCACUGUUGAGCACCAGCUGGCCUAAAUCUGAAUACCUUUUCAACGGCACCACAGCAUUUUUGUGGAUUCCUGACCAUUUUCAAGUCAGAGGUUUAUUUAUUACGGUUUUAAACAAAACAUUUUAUCAUAAAAAUCAGAAAAUGUGGCCAUUACUCAGCAAUGGAUGUGAUAUCUGCCUAAAAAAACAUACCCAGGUAACAUUAGCUAAAAGUUAAACACACUUCCCUGUACGAUUUUGCAAGUCACUCCUUUUCUUCGAAAGGCUCAAGCAUGAUAAGUUAGUGAAAUAUAUUACAUUCAAGGACAUUUACAAGAAUUAGCCAAUACACUGUUAUAUAUUUACUCACUUUCCAUUUAACAUUAGUCACCAAUGCCAAAUGUCUUUUUUGUAAGCUUGUUUGAAAACUGCAGCAGCCAGAUUUGGAUUCAUCUGUGUGUCUUUUGUUAUUUUAUGUUUUGCCUUAACUGCUAAUUCUUACUCUUACCAACAUAAUUGUACUUCUGCCAAAUAUGACCAUCAAAUCUAAGUGUAAAUUUAAGUCA